rnacentral:lncRNA from 1 species
AAAAACCCUACCCAGAUUCUCUCUCCCGAUUUCUUCCCCCUUCCUCCCAAUUUCUUUUCCCCAGAUUUCUUCCCCCACCCAGAUUUAAUUAACCACAAUUAUUCUAAAAAUUCCUGUCUGUAAUUAACAACCAAUCCCAGAUUUGUCUGUGAUUGUAUUUGGAAAUAGGAAACCAGCAAAACUGGUAUAAUUUUCCUCAUCGUUGUCACCAUCGUCUUCAUAGCCGUUGUCUUCGUCAUCUCAGAAACCAUUUGUGUGGUCGUGGGGGCUGCAAAGAGAGAUAGAUAAGGCAUGAGGGGAGACUGACUGUGGUGGGGCUCGAAUUUGGUGUGGGUUGUAAAGCUAGUAUAUGAAGAUUGGGACUGUAGCUGUAGAGAGAGAGAGAGAGAGAGAGAGAUAGAGAGAAAGCGUUUGGAUCUGGGAGAUGAGUGGUCAAGGGAUAUGAGUGGUGAUCUACAGUAUGAAAUGGGGAGGUGGUGGCGGAAGGGGUGGGGAUGUGCGUCGGAGUUUUUGGAGGAAGCGGAAGGGGGAGAAAAGGGGGCUGGACUGAAUUUUUCUUUAUUUAUUAUUUAUUAUACUGAUCUUUUGUAAAACAACCCAGCAACACCCUCUCUCUGAUUGAUCUUGUGUACCCAAAGAAUGAAGAUAGAUCGGCUCCUUUUUUUUUUAUUUCCAUUUUUUCUUGUCAUUGUAUUGAACUGAAGGAGAUCUGCGAGAGUUGAGAAAAUGAAUUUGUUGUGCUUUGAGGAAUUUGAUUUGUCCAGCAAGAGAGAUGGAUCGGUUGGGGUGGCUGGAUUGGCAUAUGAGGAGGAUGGGGGUUAGCAUGGUGGGUGAGCUAGGAUGUAGGGGGCUGCUCGGUUUUGGGGUGGGGGAGGGGUGGCUAUUGAGUUCUGAUCCGCAAGCUACCUUUCCAACGCCUGGUUCGUGAAAUCGCUCAAGACUUCGAGACUGACCUCAUGUUCCAGAGUCAUGCUGUGCUUGCG